CACGUAGGAGGCAAACGUUAUCCGGAUUUACUGGGCGUAAAGCGCAUGUAGGUGGUUCUGUAAGUAGGGCGUGAAAGCUCCCGGCUCAACUGGGAGAGGCCGUUCUAAACUACAGAGCUAGAGAAUGGUAGAGGGAGGUGGAAUUCCGGGUGUAGCGGUGGAAUGCGCAGAUAUCCGGAGGAACACCAGUGGCGAAAGCGGCCUCCUGGUCCAUUCCUGACACUCAGAUGCGAAAGCUAGGGUAGCAAACGGGAUUAGAUACCCCCUGUA
rnacentral:rRNA from 1 species